CUCAGGUUCUCCAGUGCAGUGGAUCCCCAGCAGCCCCAAAAGAUCAGACUGACAAAACACGAAGAUAUUCUAGGAGAAGUAAUUUGGGAGCUGCUAGGCACCAGAUCAGUAAUUCUUGGGUCAGAACCACCUCGUGUGGUGGUUUGUUUGUGUGUGUGUGUGUAGGGAAGGGCCGGUCCGGCCCUGCGGGCGCUGCGGUGCCGCCGUGUCCCUCACGGCAGCCCCUGGAGCCCACACGGGGCAGCCCGGGAGCAGCUGCCGCUCAAAGGCAGCAGGAAAACUGCCCCCCCAGCUCCUGGAGCCCCUGAGCAGCCUCAGCCCGGCAGGGACAGCGGGAACACCGCCCCCCGCCCUGCCCUGGAGCCCCGGAGCGGCCGCUGGGUCCCGGGGGGCCCGGGGGGUGUCCGCGGGCACCGGAGCGGCUCAAACCGAAGGCAUGUGCUCCCCACGCGGUGCCGGCCCUGCCGUCGGGACACGGAGAGCUGCUCUGCCACCAGGGGUCAGAAUCCUCAGGGAGGAAAUCAAAUUUGGAGCAGCUUCUAAGCAGUAGAUCACAGGAAUACCAGUUUGGAGUGUUUGAAGAAAUUUUGGUCCGAAGUGGCAAGGCCAGUACAGACAGUGGGAAAAGCUGGAAUGCUGCUGCAUUCACUCAUGUUUGCCAAGGAGUCCUGACUCGAGAUAAAAUCUACUCUGAACUGAACAAAUGCUGAAUUCUGGUGGCAAGAGCUGCAUAAGCAGAUAAUCUGUAAUUUUUUCCUCCAGAAGUUCUUUUAAGGAAAUUCAGCUUUCUGACAAAGGAGAUGUUUCCAUUAAAAAAAAAAAAAAUGUUCAUUCACCCUUUUCCUCCCCCCACCCACCCAAAAAAAUGAAAGCCUUGGACCCUCAAGAACAAACAAACAAACGAGAGCAAGUUCUUG